UAAAAGUGUUUAUUAAAUGAGGAAAAAUAUUAUUUGAAAAUUAACUCCGUAUACCAAUGAAAUCAUUACAAGAGAAAAAAAAAAAAGAAAAGGUAAUAUAAUAAUGAAGAAAAAAUUAAAAAAGAAAAAAGGAAAAAGGAAAAAAAAGGCAAUAUAAUAAUGACAAAAAUAAAUCGGUUACCAGUGGCGGGUUCCACGAGCCUGAGGUUGCUCUGUUUUUGCUCUGCUUCUUCUUCUUUCUUCUCCUUCUUCUUCAUUCAAUUCAAUUUCUCUGAAACACAGACAAGCAAACAGGCGAGUAGACCGAGAAAGAAGAAGAGACCCAAUGGACAAAUUUUGCUCGGAUCUCCACCUUCACGCAUUCCCAUAAUUUGGGAUUCUGUAAUUAAUCCCUACUACUAUUCCUUCCGUUUCUCUCUCUUUCUCUGAUUCUGUGCUCCUCGCAUGGACGGCUAUUACGCGUUCUCAUCGAUCUCAACGAUUAUUUCUGGAUCUGGAGUGGUUGUUGAUGUUGUUCAUGAUGCUUCUUCGCCGUCGAUUUGGAAUCGGAUGGAUACGGCGGCGGCCAUGAUUAGGAGGGGAGGUUAUGCCGGUGUUGUACUAUGGUGGUAUU